UCUGCCGGAUUUUCGGCACGACUUAGGACGUACUUGAUCUUUUUCUUUGUUUGUAUUGAGUCAAAUUUAUUAAAUAGAUGUAAUGUAAUUGUCAGGUGAGCCGGGACAGCCUUCUUCCUCCGCCCAGCCGCCACAGUAAUUUGUCGUCAAGUCUGCCGCAGGAGGAUAUUUUGUUCUGAGUUAACCUGCCUUUCUACUUCGCAGGUUGUUUAUUAAUAUUUGUGUAAUUUUAAUUACUCCUAGAAUUUCCGCAUGUGUUAGCAGUAAUUAUUUGAAUUUGGUCUGUAAUAUUAUUAUCAUGUUGGACCUGUAAACUUAAUAUUUUAAGUCUGUUUUGAUGGAUUGGAUGAGGGAGCUGAGCUCCCAAUUAUUAUUAUGUUGAUGAGUAUGUGGAGGGUGAGCUGAGCUCCCCAAUGGAUUGUUUAUUGUGUUUACAGGUCGGGUGAGUCAAAAACUCCCCGUUGGUAA